CGAAGCAACGACAAGCAGAGUCCUUGAAGGAAAUGCAAGAGGCCUUGGGACCCAAGAUUCGAUUGAUGUCGUUCCUGUUGUAGAGCUCGUAGUCAAACCCUACUGGAAUGUUGAUGACUUUCGAAGGAUCACCAUCUUGAACAAUGAUCAAAUGAUACUGCUCAAAGAAAGGUCGCCACAUCUCAAGGAAGUCGAGGUUUCGAAUCGUAGGUAUCACAAUGUCUAGCUCAUCUUUCAACAUUGGCGUGGGUUUCACGGAAGAAUACAAUUGCGCCAUUUGAAACGACAAGGAAGAAAGAGUAGUUUAUGAUUAAGCAAAGACAAAGAGAGAUGUACGAUAACAAGGAUGACUUCUUGGUAUUUAUAGAGAUGAG